CUGUUCCGCCCCUCCCAGCCACUCCCCACAUGCCAGGCAGGGGCUGGCUCCUGAGCAUCAUCACUUCCAACAUCUGCCUGGGCUGGGAGACCCAUAGCAGCAAAUGUUGGUGACUGAAGGAACAAAGCAACGCUGUGGUUUCGGCUUCCCUCGGGAGCUGUUUUUCCUCUGGGCCCAAGUCUUUUGUGCAGACAAUAAAAAAGGAACACUGGCCAGUGAUGGAUCCCAGGUGGUCGGAGAGACCUAGGAGUGGCAACUGAGGGCGGGGCCUCCCAGGGGUCUGCGAAGCAAGUUACCAGGUAACUGCCCUUGGCCACCACCAGUGGCAGCAAGGAGCACGCCCCGCCCCACACUGGCACAGAUGCUCCGGGCGCCCCUGGGUGGCGCUGCAGGCUCUGCUGUCGUGGGUCCUCGGUGUUAGCAUCUCCCUGGCGAGCUCCUUGGAGCCAGCGCGCGCGGCAAUCCCUAACAGGGUAUGGAUGGAACCCUGCCAGGCCAGGGAUGGAGGGAAUGCCAUUCAGAGCCUGCCCUGGCUCAGGGUGCCUGCGUGGCACCAGGAGCGAGCAGGAUUUAAACAGGUGGGACAGGAAGGGGGUCCCCACAGAGGGAACAGCCUGUGCAGAAACCCUGAAUGCAAGCCAUACCCUGGGCAUGCCUUUGAGGCAGGAAGUACCUUUCAAGGAGCAUCCAGUCUUACCCUCGGUUGAAAACUGAGGCUCAGAGAAGGCAAAGAACUUGUCCCAGGUGCUACUGCUCAGAGGGUUCAAGGAACUUCCCCCAAGGUCACACAGCCUGCGUCCUGGCAGAGACAGGACUUACCCCCACCCCACCCCCAAGUCUGUCUGAUUUGAGUGGAUCAGGGUGGGGCUGGGUGACACCUGGAGGAGCGCAGGUACCUCACUUACAACCAAGUUGAAGGGGCUGCCACCCUCUGCUUCCCCCACCUGCCAGGAGGUCUCUGCUGGCACUACCCUGGGCUGGGAGGCCAUGGGGAGCUUUGGGGUGUUUGCUCCUGGGACUGGGAGAUGAUGUGAGCCAAGGAGGGCCUCCCCCAGUGCUCCCCUGCCUCAGAAGUCAGGGUGAAGGAAGCAGGACCCAGACAUCCCGUCUGUCUGUCUGUCAUCCUCAGAAAAUGCACACCAAGGUCUCCUGGGCCAGCUCUGAGCUGCCACCAGCCUCCAGCAGCUAAUGAGGUCAGUGUUUCAGGUGCUGUCAUGGAGACCCUGGCCACAGGCUGGGCAGGGCAGAGGAGGAGCCCUGUGGGUCCAAGAGAACGUCCUAGAAGGGGAGCCCCUUGGAAGAGCGGCAAGAGCUUAUGGGAAUGUGCCCCGCAGAGGAAGCAGUUCUAGGCGCCCCGAGAAGCAUCUCAAAGCCCUCCACGGAACUGUCCAAAACACACAGGCACAGUCCAGCCAACGCCAGACGAGCCCAAGACCUGACUCCAGGGACUCGGGGACAGGAAUGGCCACAUCUCGGGGUCCAGCUUCUUCACUGCAGUAACUACAGGGGGUGCUGCCUUCACUGAUGGAGGUAGGUGUCCAGCCAGAUGUCACCAGACUUCUUCAGGGACCUGGGAGGUUGGUGUGGAUGUUAGGAGCUCAGUUUCAAGAUGCUAACACCCUAUAUCUCCCAUGGUAAGUGUCAGUGGAAAUAUCCCAUCCCUGUGGGUUCCUUUCCCUGGGGGCAGGCAGUGAUGCGGGACCCGGAGGCUGGGUUGUGAGAACAGCUGAGUGCUCAUUCUCUGGAGUGGAAUCUAGACCAGGUGAGCGGUGUGGGGUAGGGGAGUUGGACAGUAGCCAAGGCCAAGUUCAGGCAUGAGCCUCGGGGGAGCUGUCCCUCCUGCACCCAGUUCUCCACUGCCUCCUCCUGCUGGGCACUGCAACCCAGAGACAGAACCUGCCUACCCAAUGUUGGUCCCAAUAUUGAGCAGAGGAGCCAGAAACAUCAACAACUCGCUAGGAAACCCCGUGCCAGGUGCUCUAAAGGGGCUGUGCCAAAUGCCAGGGGCUCAGAGCAUCAGGCUGGGAGGGGUCAUGGAGGAGAAGUGGGCAUCUGAACACCAGCACAGGAAGGAAGGGCAUCCAAGUAAGGGGAACAGCAUGUGCUAAGGCGCAGAGGUGUGAGACCUAGAAUCUGGCCUCUGUUCCCCAUCUCCAAGGUGGCCACAGGGCUGAGUGGCCUCCACUCUACUCUUUCCACUUCAACUCCUGCCCGCCAGUCAUUCCCAGUAGGGGCAGCUCUUCAAGAUGCAAGCUGGGUGUGUCCCUCCUCUGAGCCCCUGCAUGCCUGCCUCAGUUAUCUAUGCCAUGAGCUUGGCAUUCAGGGUCAAGCGCCCUCUGCCUGAACGCUCUUCACCAGAUGUCCCCAGGGCAAGGCCUCUCCCCUCCUCCCUGUCCCUGCUCACGUGCCAGCCUGUCAAUACUGCCCAUCCUACCACCUUACUAAAAAUGCAGCCCCAGCUGGAUGUGGUGGCUCAUGCCUGUAAUCCUAGCACUUUGGGAGGCCGAGGUGGGAGGAUCAGGAGGUCAGGAGAUCGAGACCAGCCAGGCCAACAUGGUGAAACUUUGUUGCUACUUAAAAAACAAAAACAAAACUAAAAAAUUAGCUGGGUGUGGUGGCGGGUGCCUAUAAUCCCAGCUACUUGGGAGGCUGAAGCAGGGGAAUCACUUGAAUCCUCGAGACAGAGGUUGCAGUGAGCUGAGAUCCCGCCACUGCAGUCCAGCCUGGGCGGCAGAGCAAGACAGUCUCAAAAACAAACAAACAAAAAAAUCAUGUCUCAGGUGGCCAAGUGACGGCAGACCCCCUCACACGCCCUCUAAAAAGUACCCUCUGUAUAGCAAGCUUGCAGGGUGAACGUCAUGCAGGUGGUCCUCAUGAACCUGACGACCACUGGAGAUUGAGAAACGUCUACAAGAGGGGGUUCUCUGUGCCAUGAGCUUGGCAUUUAGGGUCAAGCAUCAGUUAUCAGACAGUUUUGCUUGAAGAUGCAUUGCCCUUGCCAUCCAACAGGCUGUGUUCCCACAGUUGGAGAUCAAAACAGGCUCCAGGGAGCUUCUUGCCUUCUUAGAGCUGAGCAAAUAGCAAGCAGUUAAAAUAACAAGUAAAUUAUAGAAAAUGGGAGAUGUGAUUUGGCAAACAAUAAAAAGCCCCUCAGGGUGGGAAGAGGUGAGGGGAGUGGGUGACCAGGCAGGGGCUGCAUUUUUUUUCGUUUUUUGAGACCGAGUCUCGCUCUGUCUCCCAGUCUGGAAUGCAGCGGUGCAAUCUCAGCUCACUGCAACCUCUGCCUCCCAGGUUCAAUCAAUUCUCUUGCCUCAGCCUCCCAAGUAGCUGGGACUACAGGUGCACGUCGCCACACUCGGCUAGUUUUUUGUAUUAUUUUAGUAGAAAUGGGGUUUCACCUUGUUGCCCAGGCUGGUCGCGAACUCCUGACCUCAACUGAUCCGCCUGCCUCAGCCUCCCCAAGUGCUAGGAUUAGAAGCAUGAGCCACUGCUCCCAGCUCUGAGACAUGGCUUCUGUUCAUAAGUCCCUAUUGAGUGUUUCUGAGAAAGUGGAUCUUUCAGCUUCUUUCCUUCAGCCUUCGGGGGUAGGUUUGCAUAGACCUGCUCACCGCAGGCACCGCUGGGUUUGUGGGACAGCGGAGUCUGCGGUAGGUGCUCCAGAAAUUCUUGCUGUGUGCAUGAAGGCUGGGGAAGCAGGGAAGGGCAUGGGAUGAGGACAGAAAGGCCUGAAUGGCAGCUCUUAGGAAGGGGCCCAUAAGGCUCAGAGGCCCCAGGGGGCCAGAAGGAGGCUGACCUGGACAAGAGCAGGCAUAGACCCUGGGGAAGCCACCGAAGCCAAGGGUUCGGGCUGCAGCCUCACCUGACAAUGUCCACCAGCGCAGUAAGGAAGGGCUUCACCUCAUAGCUAAGGCCGUGCUUGGCACACAGCGACUUGACCAGCGGGGCCACCCGGCUGUAGUUGUGUCUCGGCAUCCUGGGAAAGAGGCUGGGGGUGGGGAGCGUGUGCUGGCACCUGAACUGGGAGGUUUCCAGCGAGAGGCCCUGCCCACUGGUCUCCUCCCACGACCCACUCCCCACUUCCCACAGGCCCCCAGCACCCACACUCACUGGUGCUCGAUCUGGAAGUCGAGGUGCCCGCUGAACCAGUCGAUGAAAAGUGAGGGCUCCACGUUGCAGGUGGCUACCAGCUACCGGAAGCCAGUGGGGCACAGUGUUUAGAGAACCUGAAUGGAGCAGCGUCCACUGUGAGGCUGAGCCCAGAGCAGCCCUGCUCUCAAAGGAGGACACCCAUGGGACCACUUACAAGUCACGCCAUGCUCCCUAAACCUGCUGACCCUGGGCUCCUCUCACGCUUGUGUUUAUGUGAUUCCGCCAGCGAGCCAGGGAGGCAGUAACCCCGGGCCCAUUCUGCAGAUGGGGAAAGGGAGGCUCUGGUGGGGGUGCAGUGGAGUCACCUGUCACCUGUGUGUGACCUCACCACUCCCUGCCAUACCUGACAGCAACAAAGAAGAGCAGCACCCCAGGGACGCCGUAGAAGGGGAGGUAGGAUAAGAAGAAGCGGGCAUAGAAGCUGGCGGCCCAGAGCAAGUCCUGCAGAGGAGGGCAGAGGCGACACCGAGGGAUCACCAGGCACCCGGGGGUCUGGAGGCCUGGCAGGUGGGAGGGGGACCUCAGGUUCCAACCCUUCUGCCUGAUUUGCCUCAGAGCCCAGGACAGGCCACCACCCGCUCUGGUUUUCUCAGUUGAGUAAAGGAACAGGGUCCUUGCCUUGCCAGCUCACAGGGCUGACCUUAGAGAUGAAGGUGUCAUGUGGGGGGUGUUGGAGAAGGUCCUACCAGGGACACAGAGGCCUGGCAGAGGUGGCCCUGCAAUUCCUCCCAAGAGGACACCCUCACUGAGAGAGACCCCCACACCUUCCAUCCCUCAACCCCCGCAUGCACACACAGUCACUGGCACACUCACUCUCCUGCUGCACACACACAUGCAAACCACCUGCAGCACACACAUGUGCACCCAGUGUGCCCUCAUGGGCAGGUACUGUCCCCUAAGACACUACCUCCUGCCACAGCAGCCGGAUGCCCAGGGUUCUGGGCAACCCCACUCACCGCCCACUGCAUGCACACCAGCAUGUAUGCCAGAUUUUCCACUUCAAAGUUCACCAGGAUGAGCAUCGGUGGGCCAACUGCAAGAAGGGGCAUGAGUGUACUCAGGAGCGGGGCCGGGUUGCCGAGGCAGGUAGGCAGCAGAGUGAGGGGCUGUUACCCCAGGAACGCUCCUGGGACCUCCUGCACCCAGUUCUGGUCACAUCCAUCUGGUGGUGCUGGUCACAUCCAUCUGAGAUGACCCCACAUUGCCCCUGACCCUGUGUCCAAGCCUCCCCAGGCUGCCCUCACCCCACAACCUCCCGCCUCCCUUCUGCCACAGGUCAGAGCCAGCCUUGAGUACUUGCUCUGUCCACCCCAACAAUGGCCCAAAGUGUCUAGAGCCCCAGACGGCUCUAGUGUGAGGGCAGGAAGAAAUUCUACGUGGGGCUUGAGGAAGCACCCAGCGGGGCUGUGACGGCCUGUGAGGUGUCCCAGGCAGGACAAACAGCUGGGGAAGGAGGAAGAACGGUGCCACCGUCACGUCUGGGUCUUUGUGGAAGAUGUUGGGCUUGGCAUGGUGCUGGAAGUGACGGAAGUUCCACCAGUGGGCGGAGAAGCCCUGUGGGCUGCCCCAUCACGAACUUCUGGGCCACGUGGUUCCACCGGGAUUUCUUGAAGACGGAGGCGUGGCCCAGGUCAUGCUGCAGACACCAGGACUGAGCCUGGGGACACAGGCAGGGUCAGAAGCUGUUGGGAAGGACGGAGCCCCAGCAAACUCUUUCAGCUUGCCAGGUGCACUGGGGCCUAUGUCUGUUGGGCAGUUAGGGCAGCUGCAACACAGAGCUGGGGUCACCUGGGAAAUGGCCAGGAUGAAGGCGGCCAGGGUGCUGGGCACCCAGCCAGGACCCAGGAGGUAGAUGAGG